rnacentral:rRNA from 1 species
AUUGAACGCUGGCGGCAUGCUUUACACAUGCAAGUCGAACGGUAACAGGCCUUCGGGUGCUGACGAGUGGCGCACGGGUGAGUAAUGCAUCGGAACGUACCCAGAGGUGGGGGAUAACGCAGCGAAAGCUGUGCUAAUACCGCAUGUGAUCUGAGGAUGAAAACGGGGGACCGAGCAGCAAUGUUUGGCCUCGCGCCUUUGGAGCGGCCGAUGUCGGAUUAGCUAGUUGGUGGGGUAAAGGCCUACCAAGGCGACGAUCCGUAGCUGGUCUGAGAGGACGACCAGCCACACUGGGACUGAGACACGGCCCAGACUCCUACGGGGGGCAGCAGUGGGGAAUUUUGGACAAUGGGCGCAAGCCUGAUCCAGCAAUGCCGCGUGCGGGAAGAAGGCCUUCGGGUUGUAAACCGCUUUUGGCAGGAACGAAACGGUGUCCGCUAAUACCGGGCGCUAAUGACGGUACCUGCAGAAUAAGCACCGGCUAACUACGUG